UGGGGAAUAUUGCACAAUGGGCGCAAGCCUGAUGCAGCCAUGCCGCGUGUAUGAAGAAGGCCUUCGGGUUGUAAAGUACUUUCAGCGGGGAGGAAGGGAGUAAAGUUAAUACCUUUGCUCAUUGACGUUACCCGCAGAAGAAGCACCGGCUAACUCCGUGCCAGCAGCCGCGGUAAUACGGAGGGUGCAAGCGUUAAUCGCACGCAGGCGGUUUGUUAAGUCAGAUGUGAAAUCCCCGGGCUCAACCUGGGAACUGCAUCUGAUACUGGCAAGCUUGAGUCUCGUAGAGGGGGGUAGAAUUCCAGGUGUAGCGGUGAAAUGCGUAGAGAUCUGGAGGAAUACCGGUGGCGAAGGCGGCCCCCUGGACGAAGACUGACGCUCAGGUGCGAAAGCGUGGGGAGCAAACAGG
rnacentral:rRNA from 1 species